CACACCGUGGAUUUAAUGCUUCGGUAUAUAUACUUACAGAAGUAAUAAUUUGUGCUAGACGGGAACUAUUGAAAAGGACCUGAGCGCGCAUUGUCAUCAUAUAACGACGAUGCUGGCUGUAUUUAUCUUACCGGCUCUAUUGGCCUUGGCCCUUGGUGAUCCUCUACCACCAGUUAAAACGCACACAGAGAUCAUCCAUCUUCCCGCUCCGAAGCCACAAUUAAAAAAGGUACCAGCCCUCCAGGAACACGCCAGGGUACAAGUCCAGCACGUCCCUAUUAGACAGACGGUUGUGAAAACGAUUGAUGUUCCUAGGGACAUUAUUCGUGAAGUACCUGUCAUUGUGGAGAAGAAACUGAUUUUGAGACAACCUCACAUCAGAAAAUUCCCUAUUGAUGUAAAGAAGGUACUUCUGCAGCCUCACAUUAAGCAUGUUCCACAGGUUAGAGUCAACUACCGCAAGAGACCAUAUGACGUUUGGCACACAAAAGAGGUCAAGAAGUUCAUUGAUGUUCCAAGACCCGUCCCAGUCAUCAAACACAAGAUCAUUACCAAAGUAUUGAACAGAAUCGUCGAUGUACCCCACAAAGUAUACAAGGAUAAGGUUAAAGUCGUCCAAGUUCCUCAGCCAUUCAAAGUACAAAAGGUCCACCACAGAAAGAUAGAUGUUCCAAUUGAGGUUCGAGUGCCUGUCCCACGUGUUCACAUUAAGCAAACACAAGAAGUCCAAAAAGUUCCUAUUGACGUUACCGUUGUAAAGAAGGUCGCCAUCCCAAAAAGAACAACACUUACUGAAAUUGUUCCAGUUCCAGUCAAACCAGAGGGAUGUGGUCCAGAUGGGGUCAAUUGCGGAAGUCUAGCUUCUGUCAACUCCGUUGCUGGUGCUGGAGUUGGAUUGGCUAGGGUUGUUGAGAGACAGGACGUGGUUGUCGACGGAGCCCCUGGUGGUGUGGUAUCCGAUACACUUGUUGGGGGAGCAGCACCAGGAGCGCUGGUCACUGAAUCCGUUGGUUUCAGAGGGGGUCCCAUAGUAGAUGUCGGCGUAGGCUCCAUUGGUUCCGAGUUUGGCCCUGGAAUAGGUCCAGGAUUUGGCUCAGAUUUAGGUCCUGGUUUUGGCGGGGAAUUCUAUCCUAAUGGACCCCGUUUCGGAGAUGGACCGGAUGCAACGUUUGUUGAAUCUUCCCUUGCUGGUGGAUCUUCAAUAGGGCUCUCAGGCUUGGGUCCUCCACUGGAUGGUGAGUUUGGCUAUGUGGAAGGUGCAGGAGUUGGAGGCCGCCGAAGUGACCUGGUCAGCAUACGGCAUACAGAAAGAGUUGUUCCAGUUCCACUAACGGGCGGGGUAUCCUCUCAAGGCGGCUUCGGACAAUUAGGCGACGGAUAUGUAGAUGGCCCUUAUCCAGGCCCUUAUCCAGGCGAUUAUCCAGGAGGUUAUCCAGGCGGUUAUUUUGACGGACAAGGCUAUCUAGAGGGUGAAUUCGGUUCUGCUGGACUGGUGGGAGGCGGAGGAUCUGGGUUUGACAGGGGUAGUGGAUUUGAUACUGAAUUCUCUAGAUCAGGUUUUGAGGGGGGACUUGGUGGUAGAUUCGAGACAGUAAGCGGCGGUGGCGGCGGCGGCGGCGGUGGCGGCAGCAAUGCCGGAGUGUUUUAUCAAGAAACAAGAAAUGCCCUACCUCUCCAAGUAACAGGAACCGUUCGUGGUGAAUAUGUGCCGACGGCGGAGGAUAUAAACAGGGUUAUGUAAUUUAUGAGAACUGAUCCUUGAAAAAUAAUGGGCAUUAGAAAGGAUCUGUUCUCGAGGCCGUCGAGACUCUCGGCUUUUCCUUCUGGGUUAUGAGACACCAUUGUACAUUUCUAUAAAUAGUACCAUAUUUAACAUUGGCUAUUUCAGUGUGUUACAUUCAUCCUCGGGCGUCUGAAUAUAUUUUAUUAAUAAAAUAUACAUUUGGGUUUGUUA